UUGUUUCGUCUAUUUGCCUGUUUCUCUCGUUCCUUGUCCUUAGUUUAUGUCUCUAUCCUCGUUUUGGACUCUGUAUCAGCCACUCAAUCAGUUGCCGGGAGGCGUCCCUCGGGUUCCUGCCCUACUUAAGCAGCGGCCUGACGUCCUGUCCUCGCCGGAUUGUUAAGUCGUCUCUGUACGUCUUGGCUACCAGCUCGUUUGGUUAGGAACCAUACCUGUACUCUGUUUGUUAAGCUGACAACUAACCUGUUUUUCCUGCACUCAGGAUCUCUACCGGACUCGUCCGUGACCAACUCACCUUCCCCGCGUCCUGGUUCUCACUCUCCCGCCUGUUACCUGUUUGCCUCUCUGCCUGGACCCCAUCAGCUUCCUUCGCCUGCCUGCUCUGCCUGCCCCGAUCCCCGCAGCCACCGCCAGCUCCUUGACUCAAUAAAUCUCUGAGAACCAG